UCUCACACAGAUUUCCUUCACUCUCUCACGUUUCCUGUCACACUCAAUCACUCUCCAUCAUCUCUCUCACUCCCUCACGCUACCUCACACUCUUUAACGACUCUCAUCCUCUCAAUACACUCACUCACUGUUCCUCUUCUGGAAUACCACACAUCCCUCACGACAUCUCUCUCGGCCACUCUUGAAAAAAAGAAAAACGAAAAAGAAAAGAAAACAAGAAGAGGACUUUUCCUCUUCAUCUCCAACGCACCUACACACUGACAAGCCGUCCAUCGCACAACUUUCCUUCACAAAAAACCCCUCUUCUCCGACAAACAGAAUCGUCCAAAGCAAUCUCCAACGGCUCAUCCUCCGCCGGGAGGCUUUGAGGUUCGACGAAAUCAGCUCACCGUAUCACACCACCAUCGAUGGCAUUUUGGAAACCUUCCAAUCUCCGGUGACUCCCACGGCGACGACACUGUAACAAUCACGUUUUGGUUGGUGUUCCUCACGUUUUUUUUAUAUAUAUCGUUUCUAUUUUAUCAUUUUUACGUGCUUUUGGUUUAAUGGGAUGUGUUUAUGCAUUCAUUGGAAUAACUAUACAGAGGCGUUCAUAUUGCGUAUUGUUGUUUAUUUUCUUGUGGCGGUAUGGCUGUGAGAGCACCAAACUGCGUUUUGAUUGAAAGAAGUGCGGAAUAACAACAACUCUGCUUGAGGAGGCUAAAUGUUAAUCCAGUAUUUUUCCUAUAUGAGAAUUUAAACACCUCCUUUGAAACCAUCACGAUUUUGUUAUUUUGGUUCAGUAUUACAUACUGAUAAGCGAUGAUGUCUUUUUCCAGGGGAGUUUAUAAAGGGGCAUAUGUAUUCAUGGCUUAUUCUAUUAGAAUAUAUGGUGUUUAUGGUGCUUAU
rnacentral:lncRNA from 1 species